CAGCUUCUCACAGAGCUACAGAAAUGCCAGCUUCUAGGCCAAUGAUUCCCAAAGCUGUAGGGGAAAAGUCCACUGUCAAACCUCAAACUUUAUAAUUUAUUUUCCCUGCCUGCUAAAAAGAAGUAGAAAUUCCACAAAAAGCAAGAGAACAGGAAAAACACACUUGUGUAUCAAACUGAAGGUGAAGAAUAUGAAAGUGCUCUAGGGUUUCCAGCCAAAAUUCCCACAGAUGGAGGCACAAGAAGAAUGACGGAAUGUCCGAAUCGUCCUCUAUCACCAUCCUAUCAAAUGUACAACAGAACUCUCUUACAAGCAGCUCCCAGAAUCAAGCACUGGCUCAUUGACAGCAUGAAAUACUCUAGUACUUCAAAAAAGUGCAUUUAAAAAAACCAGCAACUGCUGGCAGCCAUGUUGAGUUUGAAACGUCCCUACAAUGAUU